GGCGCUGUAGUGUAGAGGUUAUCACUCAAGAUUCUGAUUUCUCUCGAUUUCUUGAAACCCAGGUUCGAGUCCUGGCAGUGCCU